rnacentral:rRNA from 1 species
UACGUAGGUGGCAAGCGUUGUCCGGAUUUAUUGGGUUUAAAGGGUGCGUAGGCGGCCCUGUAAGUCAGUGCUGAAAUAUCCCGGCUUAACCGGGAGGGUGGCAUUGAUACUGCAGGGCUUGAGUGAAGUCGAGGUAGGCGGAAUUGACGGUGUAGCGGUGAAAUGCGCAGAUAUCGGGAGGAACACCGGUGGCGAAGGCGGCUCUCUGGACCUGUCCUGACGCUGAGGCGCGAAAGCUAGGGGAGCGAACAGG